rnacentral:misc_RNA from 1 species
GAUGAAGAACGUAGCGAAAUGCGAUAAGUAAUGUGAAUUGCAGAAUUCAGUGAAUCAUCGAAUCUUUGAACGCACAUUUCGCCCGCCAGUAUUCUGGCGGGCAUGCCUGUUCGAGCGUCAUUUCAACCAUCAAGCCCCAGGCUUGUGUUGGGGACCUGCGGCUGCCGCAGGCCCUGAAAACCAGUGGCGGGCUCGCUGUCACACCGGGCGUAGUAGAUUUUAUCUCGCUCAGGGCGUGCUGCGGGUUACGGCCGUUAAAAAGCCUUUUUUACCCAAGGUUGACCUCGGAUCAGGUAGGAAGACCCGCUGAACUUAAGCAUAUCAAUAAGCGGAGGA